AUCCAGCCGACAUAUCUUAAAUAAGACGAAACGCGCGUCCUGGAU
rnacentral:hammerhead_ribozyme from 1 species